GCCUGCAGUCAAACCACUCGGAAUACACCUGAUCACAUCUGAUAUCGGAAGCUAAGCAGGGUUGACCCAGUAUGUUUUUGGAAAGGAGAGCGCCUGGAAAUGCUGGGUACUUAGGAU
rfam:Anolis carolinensis unplaced genomic scaffold chrTn0032, whole genome shotgun sequence.